rnacentral:rRNA from 1 species
AGUGAACGCUGGCGGUAGGCCUAACACAUGCAAGUCGAACGGCAGCACAGUAAGAGCUUGCUCUUACGGGUGGCGAGUGGCGGACGGGUGAGGAAUACAUCGGAAUCUACUUUUUCGUGGGGGAUAACGUAGGGAAACUUACGCUAAUACCGCAUACGACCUACGGGUGAAAGCAGGGGAUCUUCGGACCUUGCGCGAUUGAAUGAGCCGAUGUCGGAUUAGCUAGUUGGCUGGGUAAAGGCCCACCAAGGCGACGAUCCGUAGCUGGUCUGAGAGGAUGAUCAGCCACACUGGAACUGAGACACGGUCCAGACUCCUACGGGAGGCAGCAGUGGGGAAUAUUGGACAAUGGGCGCAAGCCUGAUCCAGCCAUACCGCGUGGGUGAAGAAGGCCUUCGGGUUGUAAAGCCCUUUUGUUGGGAAAGAAAAGCAGCAGGUUAAUACCCCGCUGUUCCGACGGUACCCAAAGAAUAAGCACCGGCUAACUUCGUG